AUGCUUUGGCAACAUGUAUGCUAAAAUUGGGAUGAUACAGAGAAGAUUAGCACGGCCCCUGCUCAAGGAUGACAUGCAAAUUUGUGAAGUGUGCCAUAUUUUU